rnacentral:rRNA from 1 species
GACGAACGCUGGCGGCGCGCCUAACACAUGCAAGUCGAGCGAGAACCAGGGCUUCGGCCCUGGGGACAGCGGCGAACGGGUGAGUAACACGUGGAUAACCUGCCCUCGGCACCGGAAUAGCCCGAGGAAACUCGGAUUAAUGCCGGAUAGCCCCACAUCCCUGCGGGGAACGUGGGAAAAGGUAGCUUCGGCCUCUGGCCGGGGAUGGGUCCGCGCGUGGAUUAGCUUGUUGGCGGGGUAACGGCCCACCAAGGCGACGAUCCAUAGCUGGUCUGAGAGGAUGAUCAGCCACACUGGGACUGGGACACGGCCCAGACUCCUACGGGAGGCAGCAGUGGGGAAUCUUGCGCAAUGGGCGAAAGCCUGACGCAGCGACGCCGCGUGCGGGAAGAAGGCCUUCGGGUUGUAAACCGCUUUCAGGAGGGACGAAGCCACUCGGGUGAAUAGCCCAGAGGGUGACGGUACCUCCAGAAGAAGCCCCGGCUAACUACGUGCCAGCCGCCGCGGUAAUAC